GUUCAUUACCAGGCCUCUGGAGAACUUCAAGACAUGCUGAGGAGGAGGCCCUGCGGUCCUCGCCCCGUCCUCCUGGUUCCUAAUACACCCCUGCCUCUGCCGGUCGCCUCUGAGCGGCCUCUGGUGGUUCGCUGCCUUGCUCCGGGACGCUCCGGUUCGACUCCUGUUUUACUCCUCACAGGAGUCUCCAGCCGGUGCUUGGCUCAACUGCGAGGAUUUAUUUGGUGUCUGCAGAUUGAUCACACUGGUUUGUAUUUAACCUACUUAGGCAGAGAGCGAGCGCGCUAAGCUGAGCCCCCUGCAGGAUUUAACAUUUCCAACUGUCAGGACGAAUUAACCGGCACUAAUACCGCUUUCAUCCCUCGCUGGGUUCCUUAGUGCAGUGACUCACGGCUCUGUAACGCCGAGCAGGAGGAUGUUGGAGCGUUUCUGAGAGUGAUUCUUUUAAACAUCCAUGUUGAUUAGACUCUGAUCUGCUCCUGGGGGUUUUGAGAAGAAGAAAAAAAAGCACGAGGGUUUGAUUUGUAAAACAAUUAUUGAGCAAAAACUAUUAUUAGCUUGAUCUUUGGUACUGAAUGCAUCCCUGGGUGGAAGCCUCCUGUUUUUAAAUGUUCAAGAAGAGGUUUUAUAUUUUUGUGCAUGUAAGAUGAAUUGCUAUUGUGCACAGAACGCAUUUGAUUAAAGUUCUUCUUAUGUUUUCUAA